GACGAACGCUGGCGGCGUGCCUAAUACAUGCAAGUCGAACGCAGUGGGGACGGGUGAGUAACACGUGGGUAACCUCCCAUCAGAGGGGAUAACACUUGGAAACAGGUGCUAAACCGAGACUGAUGGAUGGACCCGCGGUUGAUUAGCUAGUUGGUGAGGGAACGGCUCACCAAGGCCACGAUGCCUAGCGGACCUGCAGGGGUGAUCGGCCACACUGGGACUGUGACACGGCCAAGACUCCUCCGGGAGGCAGCAGUAGGGAAUCUUCGGAAAUGGACGAAAGCCUGACCGGGCAACGCCGCGUGAGUGAAGAAGGUUUUCGGAUCGUAAAAUUCUGUUGUUAGAGAAGCGGUAUCUAACCAGAAAGCCACGGCUAACUACGUGCCAGCAGCCGCGGUAAUAC
rnacentral:rRNA from 1 species